rnacentral:lncRNA from 1 species
ACUGAGCGGAGGGUAGCCGAGCUGGUGCUAUCGUUCCCUUGCUCUGGUUACAGUCUCUUCUUCCUUCCCCUCACAUGUGAGCAGAGAGCAAACCAAACUGCCCCCAAGAAGGGUCUUCACAGGAACAAAACUUUGGAGUUGGUGAAUGCAAUGUGACCAGCCACCUCAUGCUCUUGCCACCAUGCUGGACUUCACCCUCACAACUGGAAGACAAAACAAGCCCUGCCUUGAAUUAUUUUCAUCAGGCAUUUUGUCCCAGCAGUGAAACAUGAACUAAUACAGUCUGUCUCCCAUGAGACUACAAAUGAGAGUUGACAAUCUGCAGCCCUCACCAGAACCCAACUAUGUUGCCAUCCUGAGCCUAAGCUUCCAGGCUCCAGACCUGAACUGAAGAAAUUCUGAAGACACCAUCUCCCAAGCUCACAGGAGAUGCAUUUAAAGAAGGAUCCCAGGGCUGCCCACUCUCCAGAAAGUUCCACCCACCCUGGCCAUCAGAAGGAGACAGAGAAGCAUUCUUCACUGGGGCCCAGAGCUGACUGUAACUGACCGGAAACACCCACGUCUAUGCAUCGGCUCCACCCACCAAAUGAAAGAACAAAAUUGUGCUUGCUUUUGUUCUCACCGCCCCCACGGAAUUCACAAAUGUGUGUGUGUGUGUGUGUGUGUGUGUGUGUGAAUAUGCUUGAGCCAUCACAAAAUUAGAGAUUUUUUUUUAAAGCAUUGACUUAGGGCCUACUUAUAAACCAGGUAUCAAAGAUCGGCCUCCUUUGAUGCCUUGGUCUCAAAAUAGAUAUUAAUAAUAUUCAUAUUUCUAGGUUUGGGGAACAUUUGCAAACCGCAUGUGAACUCUAUCAUAUAUCAGGAGGUACCAAAGUCUUUGAAAUUAUCUUGCAUGGAAAAAUGGACUGUCUGUGUGCAACCAGAUACCAAUGGCUACAUCUGCCAAGACGGGGGCUCUCCCAAUGGCUACAUCUGCCAAGACAGGGGCUCCCCCAUAAGCCUCUAUUUAACUUCAUGGACUUCAUAUUCUGAUUGUGUAGACCCUGUCUCUGAACUCUGAGUGACUCCUGCAUGUUUGAAGACCAUCCCUGGUGCCUUUGCACAGCUCUGCUGGGCAAGACACAUAAGCUCCUAACAGAUCCAGCCCUCCCCAGCAAGGGC